GCCCCCUGCCCUAGCUGGGCCACCUCCCCGGGCUGCCGGUGGAGGGCUAAGAGGCGCUAACGUUACGCUGUUUCCGGUUUUCCAGCGGGCUCUGUUUCCCCUCCCAAGGCGGCGGCGGCUGAGCGGCGGAGCCCCCCAAAUGGCCUGGCCAGAUGCGGCAGGUUUGCUGCUCAGCGCUGCCGCCGCCGCCACUGGAGAAGGGUCGGUGCAGCAGCUACAGCGACAGCAGCAGCAGCAGCAGCGAGAGGAGCAGCAGCAGCAGCAGCAGCAGCAGCGAGAGCGGCAGCAGCAGCAGGAGCAGCAGCAACAACAGCAGCAUCUCUCGUCCCGCUGCGCCCCCAGAGCC
rnacentral:lncRNA from 1 species